GGAAGUAAAAGUCGUAACAAGAUCUCCGUUGGUGAACCAGCGGAGGGAUCAUUACCGAGUUUACAACUCCCAAACCCCAAUGUGAACGUUACCAAACUGUUGCCUCGGCGGGAUUUCUGCCCCGGGCGCGUCGCAGCCCCGGACCAAGGCGCCCGCCGGAGGACCAACCCAAAACUCUUUUGUAUACCCCCUCGCGGGUUUUUUAUAUCUGAGCCUUCUCGGCGCCCCUAGUGGGCGUUCCGAAAAUGAAUCAAAACUUUCAACAACGGAUCUCUUGGUUCUG
rnacentral:misc_RNA from 1 species